rnacentral:lncRNA from 1 species
UGGGUCGUCGUUUCUUCGCGGAUGCAACUUUUGGGCAUGUCUUUCACUCCGUCGUGGUGUGUGAGGUUUGUUCUCGUGGUUUGUGGUGAGUGUUGGCGAAUUGAAGUGUUUUAUUGCAGAACUUUCUUGGCUCUGUUACUUUCAUGUUUGGAUCUGGUCAUAGGUCUUCUAUACUGUUGAUGGUUGCUUCUUCCGGAUUCGGGUAGAGAUUAAGCUGUGGUUAGACGGUUCUUCGGCAGCAGCGGUUGCGUGUGGCUCUUGGUGUAUCGGCUUGUUGGUCUCC